GAGCAGAAGUCGAUUGAGAAUCUCAGUUCCUUCCUAGGGCGUGGAAGAAACUCUUUCCUGAUGAAUCCCUGUGGUGUCCGCUGUUGUCCCUGCCCUUGUAUCUGCCGCCCUGUUUGGCCCCCAUGUUACAAUCUAUGCAACAGAGGAUGCUAUGGCCCUUUGCAGUGGGGGUGUUGCUGCUAAGGAGGCUCAGACAUGACACACAGCGACUCAUUGAAGAAAAGAUGCUCUAAGGGAAAAGCGGUACUCAGAAAGCCUCCCAGAGUCCAGCUGGUGUGUAAUUAAUGCAACUGCCCUCCAAGAUGCUGUCUCUCUUUGGUUCUAUAGCAAUAAACUCUGGCUACUGAUUUGA